GUAUGAAACUGCACCUCUUCUAGAGAUCGAAGUUAGUCAUGAGUUCAUGAAAUUCUGCGGAAUAGCCCUUUAGUGAAGAGCCGAAUCAGAUGCUAACUUCAACACUCCCAAAACUGUACAUUAUUUUUCCGCUCUGGCAUAUUAUCGUAAAUAAUUGUACAUUCUUUGACAAGCGUUUACUUAAACGCAUUGCUACUAAGUUUGUGUAAAGAAUUCAGUGACAAUUUCAGAGAGUAAAAGAGGAAGAUCCCAGCUGUGCUGUGCCCUUUGUUGUUGGGUAAAACUGCGGGACAGGUUAAACAGGUGACAAGGUGUCAGGUUUCGGCGGCUGGUUUCUCCCACAUGCGAUACAGAGGCAGACAACAUACGACCUUGGUCCAAAUUUACUUCUUUAAUAUCAAACAUUCGCCUUCCCAACAAAUAGUGCAGCCAUGAGACCGAAGUAUGACGGGUUGUCCCAUUGUAAGCUCGCUCUGGUGUUUGCCGUGGUGAUGGACGUGCUGGGUGUGACGUUCCUGCUGGUAGGCGUCUUUGCUUCCCUAGAGAUCCAGGGCGAAGACUUUGGGGAUCUGCUGGUGUACUCUGGAGCUCUGUUGGUGCUCUUUUCCAUGGCCGGCUGGGUGCUUUGGUAUAGCGGCAACAUCGAAGGUCUGCAUUUACAAAAAGACCCGAGUGGACAUAUGGGUUCUGCUAUGGACCGACUGGCUCGCUCGGUCAGCCGGAGGAUGCGGCUCCCCAGGACGCGCAGCAGUCCCCGUUAAACGGUCGAGGCAUCGGCCUGGUUUUGAUUCCUGUUGAGCCAACUUACUUGAAACAAAAGCCUAAUUCAAGGCUUUUGUCAGUUUUUGAUAAAAAAAAAGACCCAUCAACCUUUGUUUUUAUAAACAGAAUAUGUAUGUUUUGAUUAAGUAUGCACACAUGCACUAGUUUAUAUAGUCUUUGAUAUUAAAACUUUAUCAAUGAAUGAGUGUCUUUUCUCAGCUGCCUUGUUAAUAAUUUAUUGUCUUUGCUACAGGUAUAUCUCAAUAAUUUAAAACAUCCUCAAAAAGUUAAUUUCAGUAAAUCUGUUGAAAAUGUUGUGCUCACAUAUAUUCAUAUUUUAUAUAUAUUUAUACAUUUAUUGCUACUUAUUUUGAUGAUCAUGGGUCACACUCGAUGAAAACCCAAACCCUUUGGGUCAGCUAAUGUGUUAAAGAACCACAAGUUGUUUUAAUAGUGGCCUCCAGUUUGUCUGCAUUGCUGCGUUUGGUGUCCUCGUCUUCCACUUGAUGAUCCUCUGGAGCAAUGGUUCCCAGUCCUGGUCCUCGAGUACGCCUGCCCUGCAUCUUUUAGAUGUUUCCUUGCUUCCAAACAACUGACUUAAAUGUAUGGCGGAUUAAAAGGUUUCUGCAGCAUUUGGUGUUUGCAGAGGCGAUCAUUUGGAUGAAGUUUGCUGGAACAGAGACUCAUCUCAUCUCAACAUGCAGGGCAGGGGUACUUGAGGAACAGGUUUGGUAGUCAGUGCUCUAGAUUGGGGUUCAGGUCAGACCAGUUUGCAUGUCAAUCAAGUAUAGCAACAUUAUGAUCAUUAAAGCUGGUAUUGAUGCUUGUGGCAGUCUGGGCAGGCCCAAGGUUCUGCUGGGAAAUGAAAACAUCCCCAUCAAGCUCGUCAGUAAAGGGAAGCGUGCUCUAACAGUUCCUGUAACAGAUUUUGGACUUUUUUUUUUUUUUUAAUAAGACAUACUAGAAAAACACCAGCAGAUGGAACCCCAAAUCAUCUGAGGAUCUUCACACUGAGAAAGUGUUUAGUUCAUGUUUUCUUCUCUCAAAGUCAUAACAUUUUUUAAAUUUGACUUUGUGCUAAACAAUGGGCACAACAUGCCUGCAAAAUACCCAUCACACCAAAUGCUUAAGAAACUCUUUUUGAAGAGAGACCUGAAAAUGGGCUCUGGUUAUCCCUACUGCUUGUGUAUCUACUACACUUUUUCCUUCCACUAAACUUUAUAUUACUACAAAGCAGUCUGAACAGCCAGCUUCUUCUUAGUGGCUUACCCUUUUUGCCAAAUGUGUUAUUGACUCUCUACUGGAAAACAAUGUCAAGUCAGUAAAUAAUAAUAAAAA